rnacentral:rRNA from 1 species
GAUGAACGCUAGCGGCAGGCCUAACACAUGCAAGUCGAGGGAGAAGCCCUUUCGGGGGCAGAAACCGGCGCACGGGUGCGUAACGCGUAUGCAACCUACCUUUCACAGGGGGAUAGCCCGAAGAAAUUUGGAUUAAUACCCCAUAAUAUUAUUGGAUGGCAUCAUUUGAUAAUUAAAACUGCGGUGGUGAAAGAUGGGCAUGCGUCCUAUUAGCUAGUUGGAGUGGUAACGGCACCCCAAGGCUACGAUAGGUAGGGGUCCUGAGAGGGAGAGCCCCCACACUGGUACUGAGACAGGGACCAGACUCCUACGGGAGGCAGCAGUGAGGAAUAUUGGUCAAUGGUCGGAAGACUGAACCAGCCAUGCCGCGUGCAGGAAGAAUGCCUUAUGGGUUGUAAACUGCUUUUAUAUGGGAAGAAUAAGGCGUACGUGUACGUUGAUGACGGUACCAUAUGAAUAAGCAUCGGCUAACUCCGUG